rnacentral:rRNA from 1 species
UUCGGGGUACUCGAGUGGCGAACGGGUGAGUAACACGUGGGUGAUCUGCCCUGCACUUUGGGAUAAGCCUGGGAAACUGGGUCUAAUACCGAAUAUGACCGCGCACUUCCUGGUGUGUGGUGGAAAGCUUUUGCGGUGUGGGAUGGGCCCGCGGCCUAUCAGCUUGUUGGUGGGGUAAUGGCCUACCAAGGCGACGACGGGUAGCCGGCCUGAGAGGGUGACCGGCCACACUGGGACUGAGAUACGGCCCAGACUCCUACGGGAGGCAGCAGUGGGGAAUAUUGCACAAUGGGCGCAAGCCUGAUGCAGCGACGCCGCGUGAGGGAUGACGGCCUUCGGGUUGUAAACCUCUUUCAAUAGGGACGAAGCGCAAGUGACGGUACCUAUAGAAGAAGGACCGGCCAACUACGUGCCAGCAGCCGCGGUAAUACGUAGGGUCCGAGCGUUGUCCGGAAUUACUGGGCGUAAAGAGCUCGUAGGUGGUUUGUCGCGUUGUUCGUGAAAACUCACAGCUUAACUGUGGGCGUGCGGGCGAUACGGGCAGACUAGAGUACUGCAGGGGAGACUGGAAUUCCUGGUGUAGCGGUGGAAUGCGCAGAUAUCAGGAGGAACACCGGUGGCGAAGGCGGGUCUCUGGGCAGUAACUGACGCUGAGGAGCGAAAGCGUGGGGAGCGAACAGGAUUAGAUACCCUGGUAGUCCACGCCGUAAACGGUGGGUACUAGGUGUGGGUUUCCUUCCUUGGGAUCCGUGCCGUAGCUAACGCAUUAAGUACCCCGCCUGGGGAGUACGGCCGCAAGGCUAAAACUCAAAGAAAUUGACGGGGGCCCGCACAAGCGGCGGAGCAUGUGGAUUAAUUCGAUGCAACGCGAA